GCCCUUUUUCACAGCUUGAAAAUGAUUGUUAAAAACAACAACUGAAAAUCAAACAACUGAAAACAUGAGCCAAAUCUAUUAGCACUGAACUCCUCCAACAGCACUGAUGUCACAGGCCCCUGGAAGAAUCCACGUUGUUGACAUUACUCUGGUCAUUUAGUUGCCAUGUAGCCAAGCAAAGAGAUGGGGUUUGACCUUGUUGUCCAGGCUGGUUUCAAACUCCUGAGUUCGAGCAAUCUACCCACCCUUCAAAGUGUUGGGAUCACAGGUGACUCUUAGAAUCAUCUAGUCAAAAUGGAAUUGUGACUGUAAGUGCACUAAGAAAAGAUCCCUUUGGGAAGAAUGAACUUAUUUUGACAAAUAUGUUCAAUAUUUUUACAUAUUUAAAAUAUUGACUCUCACCCAGGAAA
rnacentral:lncRNA from 10 species